rnacentral:rRNA from 1 species
CCUACGGGUGGCAGCAGUGGGGAAUAUUGCACAAUGGAGGGAACUCUGAUGCAGCGACGCCGCGUGAGUGAAGAAGUAAUUCGUUAUGUAAAGCUCUAUCAGCAGGGAAGAAAGUGACGGUACCUGAAAAAGAAGCUCCGGCUAAAUACGUGCCAGCAGCCGCGGUAAUACGUAUGGAGCAAGCGUUAUCCGGAUUUACUGGGUGUAAAGGGAGAGUAGGUGGCAGAGCAAGUCCGAAGUGAAAACCCAAAGCUCAACUAUGGGAAUGCUUUAGAAACUGCUCAGCUAGAGUGCAGGAGAGGCAAGUGGAAUUCUUAGUGUAGCGGUGAAAUGCUUAGAGAUCAUACAGAACACCGAUUGCGAAGGCAGCUUACCAAGCUACUUCUGACGUUGAGGCACGAAAGCGUGGGGAGCAAACAGGAUUAGAUACCCUGGUAGUC